AGGCGACGUCUCUCCCGUAGUCUCAUACACCGCUCAUUGCUCGAGCCAGCCAUGUCUCUGAGAUCUUGUCCAGCGUCUCGCUCCGGCCUCGUCUCCGCAUCUCCACGCGCAGCUCAUGCAGCAGCAUGCAGCCGCGACAUCUCAACCGUGCGACCUCCUGCACUCACCUCUUCGCUCCUAUGGGAUCUACCAAUCGUCAGUGCAAGCGCAAGACGACGAAUGCCGUCGUCGUCGACACUGAUCACCGUCGGAGUGAUGAACUACGAGCAUCACUAGAUGCAAAAUAUAAGCCGUUUGGAAGAUUUACUCUAUCAAUCUGGACGCUCGCUCCGGUUGUCAAAACAAUUACUUCUCUGAUCUUUAGUCCAUAUUGAAUGUUGACUUGUAUAUAUAAAGUGUUAGUUAGAUACCUAAUUGUCAACUACUGUAGCUGUUAACCUGACAUUCUGCUAUUGAAAUUAAACUUCAA